GUACGCUGGCGGCACGCCUAACACAUGCGAGUCGAGCGAGGUAGCAAUACCUAGCGGCAGACGGGUGCGUAACAUGUGGGAAUCUGCCUUUUGGUUCGGAAUAACACGGGGAAACCUGUGCUAAUACCGGAUAAGUCCUUACGGAGAAAGUUUUAAUGCCAAAAGAUGAGCCCGCAUUUGAUUAGUUUGUUGGUGAGGUAAUGGCUCACCAAGACUACAAUCAAUAGCUGAUUUGAGAGGAUGAUCAGCCACACUGGGACUGAGAUACGGCCCAGACUCCUACGGGAGGCAGCAGUGGGGAAUCUUGCACAAUGGGCGAAAGCCUGAUGCAGCGAUGCCGCGUGAGUGAAGAAGGCCCUUGGGUUGUAAAGCUCUUUUGUCGGGAAAGAUAAUGACUGUACCCGAAGAAUAAGGUCCGGCUAACUUCGUGCCAGCAGCCGCGGUAAUACGAAGGGACCUAGCGUAGUUCGGAAUUACUGGGCGUAAAGAGUAUGUAGGCGGCUAGAUAAGUUAAUUGUGAAAGCCCAAAGCUUAACUUUGGAAUUGCAAUUAAAACUAUUUAGCUAGAGUAUGAUAGAGGAAAGCGGAAUACAUA
rnacentral:rRNA from 1 species